GAUGAAGAACGCAGCGAAAUGCGAUACUUGGUGUGAAUUGCAGAAUCCCGUGAACCAUCGAGUCUUUGAACGCAAGUUGCGCCUCAAGCCAUUAGGUUGAGGGCACAUCUGCCUGGGCGUCACAUAUCGUUGCCUGAUGCCAGUUUCCUCGUGAUGGGUGACUGUGCAGGGCGAAUGAUGGCUUCCCGUGAGCAUUGUUGCCUCAUGGUUGGUUGAAAAUUGAGUCCUUGGAAGGGAGCGCCGUGAUAGAUGGUGGUUGAGUGACGAACGAGACCCAAUCAUGUGAGACCCCUACCGAAUUUGGCCUUCAUGACCCACAUGCGUCUUUGGAACGCUCAUGACGAGACCUCAGGUCAGGCGGGGCUACCCGCUGAGUUUAAGCAUAUCAAUAAGCGGAGGA
rnacentral:misc_RNA from 1 species